UAGGAGCGAGGCUUGCCCGCGAAGGUGGCGGCACAUUCAGCAUUCAUGUUGACUGACACACCGUCUUCGCGGGCAAGCCUCGCUCCUA
rnacentral:misc_RNA from 1 species